rnacentral:rRNA from 1 species
AUGACGGAUCCCGCGGAGCACAGUGUGCGGACAGGAGAAGGCUACGUAGGCAUUAAGCUGGUAGAACAGGCUUUGAAAGGUCAGACAGGGAUUGGCAAAUCAUUGUGGAACCUUGGAAUUCAACCGGACACAUCAUGUAGUUGGGUUUCUCUAUUAUUGCCUUGUCUUGUUGAGCCGUUGUUUGGGAAUUCUUGCCUUCACUCAUCUCCUGCAGCCUUGCCUCAUCGCUGUGCCGGCUCCUACAACGCUGAUUCUCAUUUCUUCGUCCGUGUGUUCACCCGUUUGCUAUAUUCACUGAUUGUUUCUACCUUUGAUCCAGAAGAACUUUCAUUGCUAUUCUAUUAUUUAUUCAGCAACCUGUUACGAGGUGGAGUUUCUUAUUGUUCGACUGUUUCUUCUCACUCUACCAGCUCCUGUGCUGUAGUGCCACUAUCACUAGCGGUGGAUUCUAUACUCGUGUUGCCAGUUAUCUUUUUUGUUCUUGCUAUUUCAUUGACGGAACAAUUGCCGAAAGUAGUGUCUGAUAUGCAUCUUUUAUUGUUGUAUUGUUCUGCUACCCUCUCCUGGAGCCCGUCGUACUAUCAGAUUAUACGAAUUGUAAUCUUUAUCUCUUGUGUGCACACACCAUGUAACUAA